rnacentral:rRNA from 1 species
AGAGAGAGACAUGCGCGCAUAUCAAUAAGCGGAGGAAAAGAAACUAACUAGGAUUCCCUUAGUAACGGCGAGUGAAGCGGGAAGAGCUCAAAUUUGAAAUCUUCAAGGUUUACCUUGACGAAUUGUAGUUUAAAGAAGUGUUUUCUGUUGGAGUUUUGGUAAAAGUUCUUUGGAAUAGGACAUCAUAGAGGGUGAGAAUCCCGUAUUUGACCAUUAUUUCCAGCUGUGUGAUACACUUUCAAAGAGUCGGAUUGUUUGGGAAUGCAGUCCAAAAUGGGUGGUAAAUUUCAUCUAAAGCUAAAUAUUGGCGAGAGACCGAUAGCGAACAAGUACCGUGAGGGAAAGAUGAAAAGAACUUUGAAAAGAGAGUUAAACAGUACGUGAAAUUGUCAAAAGGGAAGCGUUUGACACCAGUGUUGUUUUCUCGAAGAUCAAUUAAAAAAGGCAGGAUUUUGUGUUGUAUUGACUUUAUCAGCUUUCUGCACUCUUUUCUUGUCUUUUUUAAUGCACUUUUCGUUUAACAAGUCAACAUCAAUUUCUUUUGUUGUAAAAGGGUCAUUGGAAGGUGGCUUUCUUUUCGGAGAAAGUGUUUAUAGCCUUUGGCCUCUGCAAUCGGAGAGAUUGAGGUCUGCAGCGUAGAUCCUUCGGGGUUAGAUACAUUUGUGCUAAGUUAUAGCCUUUCAUAGACAACUUGUUGACUAUGAUCAGUCAUGUAGCUUACUCGCUUAUGCUAUUUUACCUACGCUUAGGAUGUUGAUGUGAUACUGCGAGC